rnacentral:rRNA from 1 species
UACGGGGGGAGCAAGCGUUGUUCGGAUUUACUGGGCGUAAAGGGCGCGUAGGCGGCCAGCACAAGUCAGUUGUGAAAUCUCCGGGCUUAACUCGGAAAGGUCAACUGAUACUGUGCGGCUGGAGUGCAGAAGGGGCAACUGGAAUUCUCGGUGUAGCGGUGAAAUGCGUAGAUAUCAGGAGGAACACCGGUGGCGAAGGCGGGUCUCUGGGCCGAUACUGACGCUGAGGAGCGAAAGCGUGGGGAGCGAACAGG